rnacentral:rRNA from 1 species
CGGGACGGGGUGGAGUAAUGUCUGGGAAACGUGCCUGAUGGAGGGGGGUAACUACUGGAAACGGUAGCUAAUACCGCAUAACGUCGCAAGACCAAAGAGGGGGACCGUCGGGCCUCUUGCCAUCGGAUGUGCCCAGAUGGGAUUAGCUAGUAGGUGGGGUAACGGCUCACCUAGGCGACGAUCCCUAGCUGGUCUGAGAGGAUGACCAGCCACACUGGAACUGAGACACGGUCCAG